AUUGAACGCUGGCGGCAGGCCUAACACAUGCAAGUCGAGCGGCAGCGGGAAAGUAGCUUGCUACUUUUGCCGGCGAGCGGCGGACGGGUGAGUAAUGCCUGGGAAAUUGCCCAGUCGAGGGGGAUAACAGUUGGAAACGACUGCUAAUACCGCAUACGCCCUACGGGGGAAAGCAGGGGACCUUCGGGCGUUGCGGGGUUGGAUAUGCCCGGGUGGGAUUAGCUAGUUGGUGAGGUAAUGGCUCACCAAGGCGACGAUCCCUAGCUGGUGUGAGAGGAUGAUCAGCCACACUGGAACUGAGACACGGUCCAGACUCCUACGGGAGGCAGCAGUGGGGAAUAUUGCACAAUGGGGGAAACCCUGAUGCAGCCAUGCCGCGUGUGUGAAGAAGGCCUUCGGGUUGUAAAGCACUUUCAGCGAGGAGGAAAGGUCAGUAGCUAAUAUCUGCUGACUGUGACGUUACUCGCAGAAGAAGCACCGGCUAACUCCGUGCCAGCCGCCGCAGUAAAAC
rnacentral:rRNA from 1 species